rnacentral:sRNA from 1 species
GCUGGGCGUGGUGGCGCAUGCCUGUAGUCCCAGCUACUUGGGAGGCUGAGGCAGGAGAAUUGCUUGAACCGGGAAGGUGGAGGUUGCAGUGAGCUGAGAUCAUGCCACUGAACUCCAGCCUGGGUAACAGAGCGAGACUCUGUUUCAA